CCUGACGACGCAACGCCGCGUGGAGGAUGAAGGUCUUCGGAUUGUAAACUCCUGUUGCCCGGGACGAACCGCUCCGACCUAAUACGUCGGAGCUUGACGGUACCGGGUGAGGAAGCCCCGGCUAACUCUGUGCCAGCAGCCGCGGUAAUACAGAGGGGGCAAGCGUUGUUCGGAAUUACUGGGCGUAAAGGGCGCGUAGGCGGCCUGUUAAGUCGAACGUGAAAUCCCCGGGCUCAACCCGGGAACUGCGUCCGAGACUGGCAGGCUUGAAUCCGGGAGAGGGAUGUGGAAUUCCAGGUGUAGCGGUGAAAUGCGUAGAUAUCUGGAGGAACACCGGUGGCGAAGGCGACAUCCUGGACCGGCAUUGACGCUGAGGCGCGAAAGCCGGGGGAGCAAACGGGAUUAGAUACCCCGGUAGUCCUGGCCCUAAACGAUGAAUGCUUGGUGUGGCGGGUAUCGAUCCCUGCCGUGCCGAAGCUAACGCAUUAAGCAUUCCGCCUGGGGAGUACGGUCGCAAGGCUG
rnacentral:rRNA from 1 species